CCAUUAGUUACAAUAGAAUUUGUUAUAAAUUUAAUUAAUGUUAAACUAUUUAACUAGUGGUAGAUAAAAACUGAUCUCAUAUGUUAAAUUUGUAAUUUAUCCACUCUUAAUAUCAUUAUGAUCUUAACAAAUAAUUAGUAUCGAUUAUGAUUCUCUCGAAAUUAGGAUUAAUAUCCUAUAGAAAAUAUCAUUUUCUAUCUAGAGGUAGAGG
rnacentral:lncRNA from 1 species